rnacentral:rRNA from 1 species
CGGCCCAGAGCGCCAGCGUCGCCGCUGGUGUUCGUCCUGAUAUCUGUUGAUUUCACCGCUACGCAGGAAUUCCACGCUCCUCUACCUUAACUCUAGUCCUGCUUUUGAUACGUGGGGUCCCAGGGUUGACCCCUGAAUUUUCACAUUCGACUUACCGAACCGGAAUGCAGCUCUUUACGAGGAUAAUUCCUGACAAAGGUUGGUCUCUACGUAUUACCUGAGCUGCUGAACGUAGUUGGCCGGACCUUCUUCUGUAGGUACCGUGAUUUUCCUCCCUGCUGAAAGGGGUUUACGACCGUGAGGGACUCCUCCCCCACUCUGUGUUGCUGCUAACGGAUUUCGCCCCUUGCCUGAGAUUCCCUACUGCUGUCUCCGAUACGAG